AGAUCACAGUGACAGGACUAGCGCAUAUUAGGCCAGGUGACUCCCUGUUUAAAUGACAUGCGCAACAUAUUACGAGAGAUAAUGCAAGGGCGGAUCGAAGGGGGAUAUGACCUACCAUCCAGACUUGGAAGCUGGAUCCACCGCUGAUGGAAGGGUAAUUUAAUAGAUCUCACAACUGUGGAUGGGAGGUGUGACUUAUAAAGAAAAACUCUACACAAUUUAGGGACCGUUGUUAAUAGGAGUAAGUACGUUUAAUAAAAUACAAUUAUUUUAA